AUAUUUUAAAACAAUUAUGUUAUUUUAAUAUCUUCAAUAUUAAGCUUUAAACUUAAGCUAUUAAAAUA
rnacentral:tRNA from 1 species